rnacentral:tRNA from 3 species
GACUUAGCUCAGCCUGGUAGAGCGCUUGCUUUGGGAGCAAGAUGUCGUAGGUUCGAAUCCUAUAGUC